rnacentral:rRNA from 1 species
UUUAUUUAUUUUAUUAUAAUUGUUUUUUGUUAGUUUAUUUUUUAAUAAAAGAAAUUUUAUUUAUUAUUUUGUCUUAGUAUAUUUUAUAGAAUUGAUUAUUUUUGUUAUAGUUUAAUAGUAAUGUAAUUGGAUUAUGAAAUAAUUUUUUAAUUAUCAAAAAGUAGAUUUAAUUUGUUGUAUCUUUUGUAUCAGGGUUUAUUAAAUUUUUAGUAUUUAUUUACUAAUCUCGAUUUAGGUUGAUUUACAAAUAAAUUAAAGUUAAUGUGUCAUAAUUAUUUUUAAUUUAUUUGUAGAAAUGAAAUGUUAAUCGUUUCCUAAUAUAUCUAGUUUCUUAAGAAAAAAUUUAAUUUUUUAAGGUUAACAGUUUUUAUGUACUUUUGUAUAUUAAAACGUUAACUUAUUUAUUCUUUAGGGGAUAAGCUCUAGAGUUUUCCUAUAAUUUUAUUAAUUUUGAUUUAAUAGUAAGCUUUAAACCAGCUAUCUUUUUGAUUACGUUUUAGUUCAUUAUUUAUUAAGUUGAUUUUAUAAAUAUUUUAGGUUUUAUAUUAAGAUUAUUAAUUUAAUUUUUAAAUUAUUGUAAUAAUGAUAGAAUUAGUAUAUAUAUAUUUAUUGUUUAUAAUAUUUUAUUAUGUUAAUUUAUUAUAAGGAAUUAGGCAAAAUUGAUUUCCGCCUGUUUAUCAAAAACAU